AUGUCCGGGCGCGGCAAGGGAGGCAAGGGGCUCGGCAAGGGCGGCGCCAAGCGCCACAGGAAGGUGCUGCGCGACAACAUCCAGGGCAUCACCAAGCCGGCGAUCCGGCGCCUGGCUCGGAGGGGCGGUGUCAAGCGCAUCUCGGGGCUCAUCUACGAGGAGACCCGCGGCGUGCUCAAGAUCUUCCUCGAGAACGUCAUCCGCGACGCCGUCACCUACACCGAGCACGCCCGCCGCAAGACCGUCACCGCCAUGGACGUCGUCUACGCCCUCAAGCGACAGGGCCGCACCCUCUACGGCUUCGGCGGCUAG
rnacentral:rRNA from 1 species